AUUGAACGCUGGCGGCAUGCUUUACACAUGCAAGUCGAACGGCAGCACGGGGGCAACCCUGGUGGCGAGUGGCGAACGGGUGAGUAACACAUCGGAACGUGUCCUGUGGUGGGGGAUAACCUGGCGAAAGCCAGGCUAAUACCGCAUGCGCUCGACAGAGGAAAGCGGGGGACUGGUAACGGCCUCGCGCUGCAGGAGCGGCCGAUGUCCGAUUAGCUAGUAGGAGGGUAAAGGCCUACCUAGGCGACGAUCGGUAGCUGGUCUGAGAGGAUGAUCAGCCACACUGGGACUGAGACA
rnacentral:rRNA from 1 species